UAUUAUACAUGGAAAACGGUGAGCACGAAAGAGAAUUUGGGAAGAGGUAAGAACAAUUCAUGUGAAUUGUGAAGAGUCCUACAAGAAAGCCAGAUUGUUCCCUGGGGUCUCUUCGGGGGCAGGGAGAGAGAAUGAAAAUACAGAUAAUGAGGAUGACUCUUGGCAGACUGUCCACCUACGACUGGCAUUUCUGCAAGAGUCCUGUAACAACAUUUUGAAGAUAAAAUCAUGCCAUGACUCUGAAAUUGGAAGUACAGAACAUGUACUAAAGAAAGAAAACUAGUGUCUUACAUCUACAGACUAUCCAAAAUGCGGUGCACAUGGAACACACGUGAAUUCCCUUCUGCUUGAUUUAUGAUGCCGG
rnacentral:lncRNA from 1 species